GACGAAGGGGGCUAGCGUUGUUCGGAAUUACUGGGCGUAAAGCGCGUGUAGGCGGUUGCCCAAGUCGGGUGUGAAAGCCUUGAGCUCAACUCAAGAAAUGCACUCGGUACUGGGUGACUAGAGGACCGGAGAGGAUAGUGGAAUUCCCAGUGUAGUGGUGAAAUACGUAGAUAUCAGGAAGAACACCCGUGGCGAAGGCGGCUCUCUGGUACGUGACUGACGCUGAGACGCGAAAGCGUGGGGAGCGAACAGG
rnacentral:rRNA from 1 species